rnacentral:lncRNA from 1 species
AGCCAGGACGGCCGCUAGAGGGCGGAGAGCAGCGCUGAUGUGCCAAGUUUGUAGAAAGUAUUGUGCAGAGCAGCAGCUGGGAGCCACAAAGAGGAAGGAAGGAUGCAAGUCUAAUGGUAAAUGCUAUAGAUGCGCCAUUGUUGGGGUAGGGUGUGAUGGCUUAUGGAGGCAGACACAGCUGGGCUCUGUAGAUCAGGUUUGGAAAUCUCAUGCAUUUCUUUUUAAAGUGUAUUACAGAGGGAGGUGGAUGUGUUUUAUGAUAUAGGCAUUCUGUAUUGGGCCACAACUCCUAUCACUAGCUGCAUUUGUCUCUCCUUAUAGUGUAAGACUGCGGUGGGGAAGCAUUCAAUCAAAGGGGUUUCCAGAUGUUGCAGGACUACAACCCCCAUGAUGCUUUACCAGUUGGAAGUUUGUAGUUCUGCAAUAUCUGGGGUUCUGCCUUUCUUUCAAUGCUGGUAGAAAAAAUAUAUCUGGCUUGGAGGGUGUAGAAAUCAAUGCAGCAGAGCAGGGGCAGCGCAGAUUUCUAUUGUCUGUUGUUUUGGGGUGGGAGCAUUGGGAGAUAGUCUCUCUAAGUCAACUAUUUCCUCCUUAGUUACUUGUUAAUCCUAGCGAUGAGACACGUUGUUAUCGAUUUAAAAGUUCCAUAUUUAUUUAUUUUCCCUAUGACACUUGGAGUAUGACUAAUAAAAUAAACCUCAACUGAACUAGAAGUACUUUGAAUUUAGUAGUUACAUUGGAGACUGGGUGAUUCUGCUAAAUGUAACGACUCUCCUGUUAAUUGGUUAAUGAGCAGGUUAUCAGGGAGAAGCUGGGCCUGUUGCUGACACUGGUUUUGUAUUCAUUGUAACAUGAUGUCGUGGGGAACACUCUGAGGUUCAGAGUUGGUCAAUUAGUUGUCAUGGUGACUGUUUCAGUUGUAGAACGCUGCCCCAGAGUCACCUUCUUACCCCACACCCUGGUAGUUGUUUUAUGACACACCCUGACAUGCUGCAAGGUGGGUGGGGAGCAAAGUAGCCAACAUAGGGCGUUGAUGUAGCAUUGGAAAAUACUUUAUAAAAGAGAUGAAGGUUCUGUCUUCAGCAAUGCAGAGUAAUAUGAUCAUCUUGCUGCUCUUAUAUUUUCUAUAUAAUCCAACACUGUAUAUUAUCCAAAUACAAGAAGUUACAAAAUGCCUGCAAAACUAAAACCAAUUCUAUAGAUUUUAAUAGUGUUAUAUUGUAAUUGUAUAUUAAAGUGACUCCCUAACCAGUUAACUAACCUACACCACUAACGAAGUCCUUAAAUUCAAAGCCCUCUACUUUGAUGCAAGUUUCCAUAGCUGGCUACUUCCAAUACUAGCCCUUUCAUCUUCAGAGGUCUGAGCAUAUAACUGCAUGCUGGGCAGGGAUUAGGGAUAUAGAGAGCCAGUUACAGGUAGGCACAGAGCCCCAAGAUUCUGCUCCCCCACCGCCAAACUGAAAAUGAACUGAACGUUGGGGAUUGUGUUUAUAGUAUCCACUUACUGUCCUAUGACCAAUAUUAAAGCUGCAGGAAUUCAGUGUGCAUCACUCAGUGCUGUCCCUGCUCCUCCUGCAAGUCACUUCGUGGGUGAGAGGCUGUUAGAGGGCAGAUGGGAAGUGAUCUCUUCCAGUCCAGCCUCCUACAGACACUAGACUUGCUGGGACAUCACUUCACUUUACAUGCUCUAUAACGUUCCAGCAGUUCUGCUAUCUAGCAUAGAGAAUACUGGCCAAGGCUCUUGGUACAUGUCUCUCCACCAGCCCACUUUGAGGGACACUCCAUUGCCAAAAUAGACUUUUUUAAAAAUCACAAUUUAGUAGAUGUACCACAAAUAAAAAAUGCAUGCACUUUAAUUAUGCAUAAUUUCAUUGGUGAUCUAUCUAAAAACAGCUUGCAAUAACUGUAGAUCUGACUGCUAGCUUUGCAAGCCCUCCCCUUCUAACACUGCCCAGACUUUCUGCGGCUGUCCAAUCACAGGCUUCCCAAUGCAGCUCAAUGAGAAGUCUUUGCGAGGCAGGUGCUCUGGCCAGUUAACUUCCUCUUGAGUGUGUGUCAGCGUCAGCUAAGGGGGUGUAACAAGAUUCAUUAAAAUCUGCACUUUGUAAAAAGGAAUGAGGACACUUCUUCCCCCCCCCCACACAAAACACUCAACUCUUCAAUCACUCUUUCUGUGACUCUGUUCUCUCAUGGUUUUCCUCCUAUCUCUCCAAUGCUCAUUCAGCGUCUACCUUUCUAAUGAUACCUCCACCGUUUGUCCUGUCUCAGUUGGAGUCCCUCAAGGCUCUGUCCUUCAUCCCUUCUAUUUUCUCUUUACACUGCCUCUCUUGGUAAGCUUAUUACCUUUUCUGGAUUCAAAUACCACCUGUACGCUGAUGACACCCAGAUCUCUCCUCCCCAGACCUCUCCCUGAUGUCCUGCAACGUGUCUCCUCUUGCCUUUCUAUCUCUGAUUGGAUGUCCUCCCACUUUCUGAAACUGAAUCUUUCCAAAACAGAACUUCUUGUCUUUCCUCUUCCUAAUAUUAAUCCUCCUUUCUCGCUCUCCCUUCAGAUUGGUGGUACCCAUAUCAGCACAACAUCCUUACAAGCACGUUGUCUUGGUGUUACAUUUGAUUCUGGCCUCACCUUUCGGCCUCACAUCUGGUCUGUCAAAUCAUGCCAAUUCCACCUCAAACACAUCGCCCGCAUCCGCCCUUUUCUUACACAAGAUGCUACUAAAGAGCUUGUCCAUGCUCUAGUAAUCUCUCGCAUGUAACUCUCUCCUAAUUGGUCUUCCCAAUAGCCGUAUUGCCGCACUACAGUCUGUAAUGAAUGCUGCUGCCAGACUGAUUUUCCUCUCUAGUCGGUCCUCUCACCCCUCUCAGUCCUUACAUUGGCUUCCUGUAUCCUAUAGGAGUCAAUUCAAAGUGCUAACCCAUACCUAUAAAGCACUGCAUAAUCUUAGCCCCUCUUGUAUCUCCUCACAGAUCCAUAGGUAUGCCCCUUCUCGGUCCCGCUGCUCAUACCUGUAUGGCCAACACGCGCUUGCAGGACUUUUCACGGGUGGCUCCCGUCCUAUGGGAAUAGCCUGCCUCCCACCAUCAAACUCUCCCUUAGUCUUCAAUCAUUUUAAGAAGUGCCUUAAAACUAAUUUCUUUAGGAAAGCCUAUGGCCUUCCAGACUAACCUCUACCUCACAUACCUGCCUCUUACUCUCUACUCUCUCCUCCAGCUCUGCUCCACUCCAACCUAAUUUGACUUCUUUUCCCUGUCCUAAUGUUUUAUACCCCACCUCCUAUAGACUGUAAUAUCAUUUAAGCAGGGCCCUCUUCAACCUUUCGUUCCUGUAAGUUUUUUCUUGUAAUUGUCCUAUUUAUAGUCAAAUCCCCCCCUCAUAAUAUUGUAAAGCGCUAUGGAAUCUGUUGGAAUAAUAAUAAUGGUAAUAAUUGUCUUGUAGCAGUUUAGUUUACAGGCCCCUUUCCGAGUGCCUGCAAAAGGUAGCUUACUUACCUACUCCUCCUUGCUGUGCUGCUUCCUGUGGCCAGCCCUGCCUCCAUCUUGAUGUCUGCCAACCUAAUGCUUUCCCAUUUGAUGGACAUGCAUGUGUGCAAAAAACAGUGCCAAUCAGGUUGAUUAUUAGACUAUAUAUCUGCUCGAAAUUUGCGGGUUUUUUUUUCCAGAGGAAGCUCAUUUGAUGUCUGUCAGUGUGACUGCAGAAUGUCAAUGUUUCCAGUUGUGUGGUUAAAAAUAGUGGGGCAUAGCACCCAGACAUCUCACUGAGAUGACGUCUUCUAUGUGCCCAUUUAAGCUCCAACAAAAGCUGACCAGUUCUGAAAACAGUUGCUGACUCUGCAUUAUUGGAAAUUUGGCCCUGAAUAUAGAUCCAUAACCUGCAAAAGUAUUCAUCAAAUUGUAAUGAAAUAGCUUCCCAAACUGGCAGCAGAUAUUGAUUUGGAAAUGUCGACUCUUGUGCUUUUUUUAUAAAUGGAGUGAUGUUUACUGUACAUUCUCGUGAUUCCAGCUUAGACAUCAUGCCCACUGAGUGUGAGGUUGUGGGAAUCCAAGCACCAUAACUAUAUAGCAACAUGUAGUAAUUAGUGCCAGGAGCACUCAUGUGAUGUGCUUUGGUACGUAAACUGGUUUUAGGAGACAAAUUGUUUUUUAAAUUGUAAACAUGACAUUUAACUUGACCCUUUCCCUGAAUCAAACGAUUAUGCCAUGCAUGCAAACUAUUUAUGAUUUAUUUCAAUUACUGUAGUUCAUGUUUUAUAACUCAAUACUACCUCACUUUGGGAGGCAUGGCUUCAGGGUGGCUCUACUUUCGACAUCUUGUAAUUUCGUUACUUGCUGAUAACAGUUUAUGUAACUUAGACCAUUUUUGUAUCUUGUUUAGACACGUUACUGAGAACUAUACUGCUGGGAAACUGAACACCAAAAUAUAUGGAGCACACAGAAGAGAGGGCUGUUGGGCUGGAAGAGGGGGGGAAAAGGACAGCAGGAUUUGGCUUCAAAUAAGGACUUCCUAAAGAGAGGCACUUGGGAGGUAUGUGUUUAGACUUCCUUUUUAUUUUUCUUGCAAAGAUCUAAGGAAUGCUAUCUAGAGACGAGACUGUUUGGGAGGGAUGUGUAUCUAAACGUUUGGGGUCCCUGGUCAUUGACAUGGUUAUUCACAAAUCUAAAUUAUCAGGACACAUGACUUGUCAUGCACAAGUAGUUGGGCUACUGCUUUAGUCUAUUGCAAAAGGGGAUUUUGAAAAAAAUGUCCACACCCCUAAGUAUAUGCAAUAUGGGGGUUUCAAAACUGCAAAUUCUGUUUUCCUGCUAUUCUAUGUGCAAACUGACUGAGCAUCUAAUCCACAGUGUAGACUUGACCAGGUCAGUAUGUCAAUCUGGGAAAUCGGUUUGAGGGCAGCCAUUCAGUACAUAUUGUAAACACUGGGGAGACCCACCAGGAAGGAUCCAUGUAGACACUGGAGUUCUGUAUAUAAAUAUGAACUAACAAAUUUAACAAAGUCAGGCCUGCAUCAGAUGCAGGUGAUGUUUUGUGCGCGAGUGCUAUUUUAUUUGUACCCUUGUGUAUGAAGGAAACACGAUCCCUCUGCCUCAUUACUUCCUAAAGUGUGGAGUAGUCUCCUGCUGUGCAGAGCUUCUAAUGUCUGCGUUAGUCUGGGAGCACAGCCAGGAAUGACACACUCUGCCUGGCACAGAGCGGGCCAAGCAAUGAGAGCAGAUCUGAGCAGGGAAGCAGGGAUUUCCCAGGAAAUGUCAUGAUAUAGGAGCUGCUAUGCAGAGCGAAUCCAUAAUAUGCUGAGGCGUUUAUGGAAAACUGUACCAAGGCUUAAUGCAUACAUCCUACAUAUAGAUCUGUCCUCUCGUGCACAGCUCACAGGAGUUUUUUUAUACAAAAUACAAUGUUCCCAAUGGGCAUCCUGUGAUACAGACAGCUGGUAUUAACUUGUGACACUAGAGCACACAAUGGGGUUAUGUAUAAAGAGUGGUGUUUACAUUUUAGGCUGUGCUUCUGUUGCAUUGCCUAAAUGCUGGAAUAUUCAUAACUGCAUCAGUACUCUUAUCACUUUGGUUUUUUUUUUUUUUGUGGAUUACCCCUCAUCUUUACUGUUUAUUACGUCCACAAAACUAGAUACUCAUGAGGUAUGUAGGGCAAAGAGAAAAAUCCAAAAGAGGCUUAAAGGACCAGUAAAUACAGACAGACCACUUCGAUGGCCCUGUAACUUUAAUCUUUCAAUGUAAAACCUGGCUGUUCUGACACCUCAAUGUUAACAUUGAUGGGUUAAAUGCACAUCUAGUAGCUGUCUUCCUGAUGGCCAUUAGUGGCGCUUCCAAUUCCAGACCAGUCUAACUUUCAAUCACAUGCUGUCAUAGAAGAGCCUGACCAUUUGCUGCACAUAUAUAAAUCGUCCAAUGCCUUUCUGAGACGCGCUGGAUUGGACGGAGAAUGUGGGAGAUGUCAGCCGGAAUGGUGAUUGAUGCUGAGCGCGUAGUUGCAGCAAAGGUCUCCACACUGGAAAUGAGG